AGUCCUACGGGGGGCAGCAGUGGGGGAUAUUGCACAAUGGGGGGAACCCUGAUGCAGCGACGCCGCGUGGGUGAAGGAGCGUUUCGGCGCGUAAAGCCCUAUCGGCAGGGAAGAAGAUGACGGUACCUGACCAAGAGGCCCCGGCUAACUACGUGCCAGCAGCCGCGGUAAUACGUAGGGGGCAAGCGUUAUCCGGAUUUACUGGGCGUAAAGGGGGCGUAGACGGCAAAGCAAGCCCGGAGUGAAAGCCCGGGGCCUAA
rnacentral:rRNA from 1 species